CAGAACCAACAGCAGUCCUUCCACUCCAGUGGACAAGUGUAUACAUCCGAACCUGUGCAGGGGAAGCAACAGCUGUCUACGGACAGCUGGAAGAAGCAGAGUCCAUCUAAACCUACACAGCAGAACCAACAGCAGUCCUAUGGCAGCUGGACAUCUCAGUCAAACUACCGUAGACAAGGGUCAAGCCACUCCUCUGAUAUUGGGGGGACCAAAGCAUGAAUGGUCUUGGCUUUUUAAACAUAAGCUUCAAUAAAAAAUAUAUUUAAUCAUUUCUAA